rnacentral:tRNA from 1 species
AGUAGCUCAGUGGAUAGAGCAAUGGCCUCCGGAGCCGUGUGCGCAGGUUCGAUUCCUGUCUGG